rnacentral:rRNA from 1 species
CCUACGGGGGGCAGCAGUGAGGAAUAUUGGUCAAUGGACGAAAGUCUGAACCAGCCAAGUAGCGUGAAGGAUGACUGCCCUAUGGGUUGUAAACUUCUUUUAUAUGGGAAUAAAAUGUUCCACGUGUGGGCUUUUGUAUGUACCAUAUGAAUAAGGAUCGGCUAACUCCGUGCCAGCAGCCGCGGUAAUACGGAGGAUCCGAGCGUUAUCCGGAUUUAUUGGGUUUAAAGGGAGCGUAGGUGGGUUGUUAAGUCAGUUGUGAAAGUGUGCGGCUCAACCGUAAAAUUGCAGUUGAAACUGGCAGUCUUGAGUACAGUAGAGGUAGGCGGAAUUCGUGGGGUAGCGGUGAAAUGCUUAGAUAUCACGAAGAACUCCGAUUGCGAAGGCAGCUCACUAGACUGCAACUGACACUGAGGCUCGAAAGUGUGGGUAUCAAACAGGAUUAGAUACCCUUGUAGUC